GGCCGUGUGGCGUAAUGGCAACGCAUCUGACUACGAAUCAGGAGAUUGCAGGUUCGACCCCUGUCUCGGUCA